AACAAUGUGGUUCUUGACUGCAGGUGAAAGGAGUGUGGGCCUGGAGUUCCCACAGUACCAGGCUGUGGGCCAGGCUGGCAGGAGACAAAGGCAGCCAGCCGGGACUCCCCUGGGAGCUGCAGUUCAGUGUUGAGAGAAGCCUUCUGCGCGGUAACCACUGUGUACUGUCUGGGGAGGGAGGACAAGAAGGACGUCAUUGAUCCACUACAGUCUGAUGAAUGCCACGAGAUGAGACUACCCAAUGGCUAUUGGAGCACAGAGACGGACGUAGCUGGCCCUGCCAAAGAGAGAGGGGAGGUUUGAUUAGGCUUCAACAAAGAGGACAUUCACAUUGGGUCCUGAAGAAUGAGUAGGAGUUUUCCAGAGAUGAGAGGAUAUUCUGGGAAGCACUAAUUGCAAAGAGCAUUCUUGCAGGAAAUUACCACAUUUUAACUGUUAGAUAUACAUUGCUAUUUCAUACACCACAGUGUGGGAUAAACAGAGGUAACUUGUAAGUACCUCCACGUCUGGGAAGGUAAACAAAUCUAGCUGGCUCAGCAGGAACUGAGGUUAACAAUAAAUGUUCCACUCUAAGGGGAGUACCUGAUUCUGACUUUGAAGGAGUAUAUGCUUCAUGUUAAUCGAUCUUCUUAUUUUAAAAUAUGAAAUAUAAUUUACAUUUAGUAAAAAUUACUCUUUUUAGUGUAUAGUUUGACAAGAUUCAACAAAAAUAUAUAGUUUUAUAGUUACUAUGACAAUGAAAAUAUCAAAUAGUUCUGUUACCCUCUAAAUUUCUCCACGCCCUCCAGAAUCACCAUUUCCCUCCUUCCCAGCCACUGGGAACUACUGAUUUGUUUUCUGUCUGUAUAGUUUUCUGUCUGUAUAGUUUGGUUUUUGCAAGAAGGUCAAGUAAAUGCAAUGUAGUCUUUUGACUAAAUCUGGCUGUUUUUACUUUGCAUAAUGCAUGGAAGUUAUAUCCACCUGUAUCAGUCAUUCAUUUCUUUUUACUUCUGAGCCUUAUUCUGUUAAGUGGAUGUGUAACAGUCUGUUUAUCCAUUCCCCAGGUGAAGGACAUUAGGGCUGCUUUCUAGUUUUUAGUGAUUACAAAUACAACCACUAUAAAAAAUUGUGUGCAUGUUUUUGUUUGAAUAUGGGUUUUCAUUUUACUUUGGGAAAUACAGGUAGAGGAAUAUCUGGGUCCUGUAAGUGUAUGCUUGACUUUAUAAGGAACUGCCAAAUUGUUUUCCAAAGAGUUUGUCUGUACUGUGCUACAUUUCCAC
rnacentral:lncRNA from 1 species